rnacentral:rRNA from 1 species
AGUGAACGCUGGCGGUAGGCCUAACACAUGCAAGUCGAACGGCAGCACAGUAAGAGCUUGCUCUUACGGGUGGCGAGUGGCGGACGGGUGAGGAAUACAUCGGAAUCUACUUUUUCGGGGGGGAUAACGUAGGGAAACUUACGCUAAUACCGCAUACGACCUACGGGUGAAAGCAGGGGAUCUUCGGACCUUGCGCGAUUGAAUGAGCCGAUGUCGGAGUAGCUAGUUGGCGGGGUAAAGGCCCACCAAGUCGACGAUUCGUAGCUGGUCUGAGAGGAUGAUAAGCCACACUGGAACGGAGACACGGUCCAGACUCCUACGGGAGGCAGCAGUGGGGAAUAUUGGACAAUGGGCGCAAGCCUGAUCCAGCCAUACCGAGCGUGUGAAGAAGGCCUUCGGGUUGUAAAGCCCUUUUGUUGGGAAAGAAAAGCAGCAGGUUAAGACCACGCUGUUCUGACGGUAACCAAAGAAUAAGCACCGGCUAACUUCGUG